AAUUAAUUAAGGUCAUCUUGCCAUAAAGUAGGGACAUCAACCUGGUCCACCACUUUAACAUUUUUACAAGAAUGUCGGAUUAGUAUACUCUGGUUCUAAAUCCUAAUCUAAAAUAGCAGCUACAGUUUACAUCGUCGAUUGAUCCUCCAUCAAUCGAUCUUAUCUAUAAUUAAUAUUUUUUAAUGAGAUGGAAACAUAAACAACUAAAUACCGGUUAGUCAAUGAUCUGUCACGUGUAAGGAUUUAGCUGAUAUGAAGAUCCGUAUAGAAUUCGCACGCUCACCCAAUAAUUAACAAUUGUGAUAGCUUGAAAAAGGAUAGCAAGGUUCCUUCUUAUCUCUAUAAAAUGAAGCUCAACCCAGCAACUAUAUUACACCUCCUAGUUAGGUCUCUUCCUCAAAAGAUCAGGAACCAAAGAGAUAUUGAACAACCAUGGUCGAAGAUGGCGAGGGAUGUAUUUGACAUGUUUUGAUGAUACGGGUGAGUGGAUUCCAUGCUAUGCUUGUCAAAUGAGCAGUCCCUUGCAAAUUAAUCUUAGUUUCGUUGUCUGUUCGACCUGAAACUACGGUAAAGGCUAGGUAUAUAGUACCCCUCACAACCCUAAUUAGAAGGUAAUCGUGUUUUUUUUUUAUAUAGAUUAAUCAACUUGAUUGACCAUCUAACAAAUUAAACAAGGCAGCUUCGUAUUAGAUAACUAUAUAUUGAGUAGCAUCUUGGUAUUUGACCCAGUAACCUAAAUUAUAGAGUUACUUUAAUGCAUAAAAUAGUCAAUAACCUAGAAAGAAGAACGUAAAUUAAAACUCCCAAUCUUAAUCCUGUUUAUGCAUUUAUUGGAUAAUUCAUUUGGAAAGCGGUUUAGGUAUAUCUUUUGGCUCCUUCUUUUCCUUUCGAAAUAUGAAGAAGAAAGCAAUUGAAAAUAUAGUAAUAGGCUGGCUAUCCCUUUUGCGGUAAUCUAACAUAACUUUGAUAGUCGUUGGACUUUUACCCUAGUUUUUGCAGUUGCAGCUGCCCGGUAUCGAUUUUUCAGGUGUACGUAGGUUACACACCCAAACCCAGUCCAAAAAGUAGGCAGGCUUAUGAUCUUUUUGUUUUUCCAAGACAUAUAGUCAUCUUUAAUAUCAAAUACCUGAACUCACUCUACUAAUUAAAUUGGAUGUGAAACCAAUCUAGUUACCAAAUUAGAUUAAGUUGCUUCCACAGUAGCAUUUUCUUGCUUUCGAACUGCAGAAUAAUUAGCAUAAGCCGCAUAGGUACAUCCUUAAUUAGAAAAAUAAUGUGGCUAGGAGAGACCUAGUAGUGACUAGCUAGCUAGUCUGCUACCUGGAAUGUUGAUAGGUCGAACAGACAACGAACCUGAUGUAUAAAGCAAUUAGAGACUGUUCAUUUGACAAGGGUUUGCAUGGAAUUCAACAUCUUGAUUCUUGACCUAGAUGUUUUCAUAUGAAGUUUAUUAAUUAGGAAGCAGAUCAACUUUCAUCAAAAAGGUGAUCGUGUCCAGGUAAUUCACUUAGUCUUUCUUAGCUAGUCUAAUCUAAUCAACUUUUCCCUUCUUUCUUCAAAUGAAUAUGAUAUUUCUUGACAAAUUCCAACAUGUGCUUUGUGACGAUGGAGGCUCAACUGCCAGUGAAGGGACGAUGGAGGAUCAAGAUCAGUUACUACGUAGAGGCUCCAUUUGAUACGAAUGCCAAUAUUUUAGAGCGAAGGGUCAAACGGUCCACUACUAUAUAUCAUCUGCAGAACACGAUGAAUAUUAUGGUGGUUUUAAUCAUAAAUUGUAUCAGUGUAAUUAAAAGUAGAACAUAAGUAAUUUAAUUUUGUCAACAUUAUAAUGUGAAAUUCUUGUAUUUUUAUUUGUUAACCAUUAUAUAACGUGAAAUUCAUAAA